GUCCCGAACAGGUGCUGCAUCACCCUCACCGCUUCGCCUCGAUUGGCACCGGCGCAGGCCACCCCGCCGCUCGACCUCGCCUCGCACCGGAGGCGACCACCACCAUCCUCCCCGCGCCCUCUCCUCCCCCAAUCCGAUAUAGAUGCCUAAACCGCGGGAAUAGGCAGGCGGCCGGCGGGCGACGCGAGGCGCGGUGGCGGCGCGAGGAAGACGGGCAGAUGCGGGCGCGGCGUCGACCGAUCUGGCUGGUGGUGCGGCGGCUUGUUCCGGUGCCAGCGGCGUCCUGCUCAUCCAGAGAAGGAGAGACAAGGGCCUGAGGGAGAGAGGAGAUAGAGGAAGAAAGGAGAAGGAGAAGGGGCGCACGCAGGGUGAGGGAGGCAGUCGCCGGCAAUGGCGGCUCCGGUGACUGACCGACGGGCUUGCUAGGCAAGGCUAAGGAGUACGCUAGCCUGAUAUUCGAUAGAGGGAAGAAGUUGUGAUGGCGGCGAAUUAUGCAGCCAUUGUCUCUCACGACCGUCGGCCCCUGCUCGCGACGUCUCUACUGGAGCCGCCUCUCCCUACUCUGGUGUGUUGCAGCUCCUUACUCUAGCCACAUGCCGCUUGCUCUCCCGCUAGCCUCUGCCUCCUCUGGUCUCGAAGUUGAUGACACCCUGAAUGCAAAGCUCCCACAAUCAUCCGCUCCGUCUCAGCAAAAACAUGUCCAGCUGCAGAAAAGGAGUUUGUAUCCAGCUUGACCUCCAUAGCAGGAAGAUCUUAGUAAUCGUUCUAUCAAUGUUCUAUUAAUGGACAGAGGAGGAGAGCAAUGGAAAUAACACCCCGUCGCGGUCCUGGUGCUUCUCUCCGUGGGUUCGCUUGCAAACCUCGGCGUUUGCGGCUUCUAUAGGUACGUACUAGACGACUACCCAUUGUUUUGUUUUCUAUUGACAGUUUGAUCGCUUCAUCAAUCCUUCUAGAGGGUCUUGACAGGAAGGACUGAGCAGCCACUGUGCUGGAGUAGACUGUGUGACAGGUUUUUUCCUCUCUCUCCUACCCGUGAUUGGUUUCUUUGGUGAAAAAAGCAUCACUGUCUUUCAAUACAUCAUGGAUGCUCAACCUGUAUGUCUACAUGGUACAAGAAUGAAGAUUAAACGUUCAGUCUAUUGAUUCAGAGUGAGACAAGGGUGAAACAGAAUAAGCUCAUUUUUGUGGUUCAUUGUCGGAAAAGAAUAUUUAGCAUGAAUGUAGGUGCUUUCAUAUGAAGCUGGACAUGUUUACAAUGAUCGACCGGAUAUCGUUACACGUGUCCUGAAUAUGAAGUUUAAUGAUUUCUGAGAAGAUGUUAAAAGUGGAUAUUUGUUUGGUACAAUUCAAGCAUAUUUAUACAUGGUGGAAUUCCAGAAUAGAGGCUUGCCUCAUACUCAUACUUCAAUUCGGCUUAUAGGGAACAAUCAUGAGCCUUCGGCCUCCUUCAUAGAUGGUUUGAUUUCGGCUGAGAUACCUGAUCCUUUGGUUGAGCGCUGGGUUAUGCUCUUAUGGAUUAAAGUAAAGUGUGCAUGUAUGAAAGAUGGAUUGAGUUCCAAAAGAUUUCCCAAAGAUUUUAAUGAGCAGACAUCGGUUGAUGAUAGAGGCUUUCCUAUAUAUUGUAGACGUGAUUUGGGUUACUAUGUGAGGAACAAGGGUACUGUUAAGCUUAUUUUGAUCCAAAUCCAAUAAUAAAAUUUGAUCAAUUCCUGUA